GGGCCCCUCUUAGGUCAGUCAGCGGGCCCCCACUUAUGAAAAUUUCUGGAUCCGCCACUGGGGGUAGGGUGACCCUAGGGACUUCCCCUACAUUUCAUUUUAUUUGUUAUAUUGUCCCAUACAUGAAUAUAUAUGGUUUAGGGGUGGGGAUCUCAUUGGUUUCCAAGUUCUCAAACAGGAGGGGUAGGGUGACCCCAGGGACUCCACCUAUAUUUCAUUUGAUUUGUUAUAUUGUCCCAUACAUGAGUAUAUAUGGUUUAGGGGUAAGGAUCUUGACCAUUUCCAAGUUCUCAAACAGAAGGGUGUACAGUGACCUCAGGGACUCCCCUAUCUUUCAUUUGAAUUGUUAUAUUGUCCCGUACAUGAAUAUAUAGUUAAGGGGUGGCGAUCUCAACGGGUUUCAAAUUCUCAAACAGGAGGGGGUGGGGUGACCCAAGGGACUCCCCUAUAUUUCAUCUGAUUUGUUAUAUUGUC
rnacentral:lncRNA from 1 species